rnacentral:miRNA from 1 species
CCAGUAUUGAUUGUGCUGCUGGA